rnacentral:rRNA from 1 species
GACGAACGCUGGCGGCGUGCUUAACACAUGCAAGUCGAACGAAGUGGCGAACGGGUGAGUAACGCGUAAUCAACCUGCCCUUCAGAGGGGUACAACAGUUGGAAACGACUGCUAAUACAGCAUACUGAAGGAGGGGAUUGCGUCUGAUGCGCUAGUUGGAGGGGUACCGGCCCACCAAGGCGAUGAUCAGUCGCCGGUCUGAGAGGAUGACCGGCCACAUUGGGACUGAGACACGGCCCAGACUCCUACGGGAGGCAGCAGGGGGGAAUCUGCCGCAAUGGACGAAAGUCUGACGGAGCAACGCCGCGGGAGUGAUGACGGCCUUCGGGUUGUAAAGCUCUGUUAAUCGGGACGCGGUACCGGAAUAGAAAGCCACGGCUAACUACGUGCCAGCAGCCGCGGUAAUUC